AUUGAACGCUGGCGGCAUGCCUUACACAUGCAAGUCGAACGGCAGCACGGGAGCUUGCUCCUGGUGGCGAGUGGCGAACGGGUGAGUAAUACAUCGGAACGUACCCUGAAGUGGGGAGUAACGUAGCGAAAGUUAACGCUAAUAACCGCGUAUUCUGUGAGCAGGAAAGAGGGGGAGUCGCAAGACCUCUUGCUUUAGGAGCGGCCGAUGUCGGAUUAGCUAGUUGGUGAGGUAAAGGCUCACCAAGGCGACGAUCCGUAGCGGGUCGUGAGAGGAUGAUCCGCCACACUGGAACUGAGACACGGUCCAGACUCCUACGGGAGGCAGCAGUGGGGGAAUUUUUGGACAAUGGGCGCAAGCCUGAUCCAGCCAUGCCGCGUGAGUGAAGAAGGCCUUCGGUUGUAAGACUCUUCGUGGGAGAAAUUAGCAUGGGCGUAAU
rnacentral:rRNA from 1 species